rnacentral:rRNA from 1 species
UGGCUGUCGUCAGCUCGUGUCGUGAGAUGUUGGGUUAAGUCCCGUAACGAGCGCAACCCUUGUCCUUAGUUACCAGCACGUUAUGUGGGCGACUCUAAGGAGACUGCCGGUGACAAACCGGAGGAAGGUGGGGAUGACGUCAAGUCAUCAUGGCCCUUACGGCCUGGGCUACACACGUGCUACAAUGGUCGGUACAAAGGGUUGCCAAGCCGCGAGGUGGAGCUAAUCCCAUAAAACCGAUCGUAGUCCGGAUCGCAGUCUGCAACUCGACUGCGUGAAGUCGGAAUCGCUAGUAAUCGUGAAUCAGAAUGUCACGGUGAAUACGUUCCCGGGCCUU